rnacentral:rRNA from 1 species
AUUGAACGCUGGCGGCAUGCUUUACACAUGCAAGUCGAACGGCAGCGCGGGCUUCGGCCUGGCGGCGAGUGGCGAACGGGUGAGUAAUACAUCGGAACGUGCCCAGUAGUGGGGGAUAGCUCGGCGAAAGCCGGAUUAAUACCGCAUACGACCUGAGGGUGAAAGCGGGGGAUCUUCGGACCUCGCGCUAUUGGAGCGGCCGAUGGCAGAUUAGCCAGUUGGUGGGGUAAAGGCCUACCAAGGCGACGAUCUGUAGCUGGUCUGAGAGGACGACCAGCCACACUGGGACUGAGACACGGCCCAGACUCCUACGGGAGGCAGCGGUGGGGAAUUUUGGACAAUGGGCGAAAGCCCGAUCCAGCAAUGCCGCGUGUGUGAUGAAGGCCUUCGGGUUGUAAAGCACUUUUGGCGGGAACGAAAAGGACUGUGCCAAUACCACGGUUCGAUGACGGUACCCGCAGAAUAAGCACCGGCUAACUACGUG